rnacentral:rRNA from 1 species
GACGAACGCUGGCGGCGUGCUUAACACAUGCAAGUCGAACGGAAAGGCCCUGCUUUUGUGGGGUGCUCGAGUGGCGAACGGGUGAGUAACACGUGAGUAACCUGCCCUUGACUUUGGGAUAACUUCAGGAAACUGGGGCUAAUACCGGAUAGGAGCUCCUGCUGCAUGGUGGGGGUUGGAAAGUUUCGGCGGUUGGGGAUGGACUCGCGGCUUAUCAGCUUGUUGGUGGGGUAGUGGCUUACCAAGGCUUUGACGGGUAGCCGGCCUGAGAGGGUGGCCGGCCACAUUGGGACGGAGAUACGGCCCAGACUCCUACGGGAGGCAGCAGUGGGGAAUAUUGCACAAUGGGCGGAAGCCUGAUGCAGCAACGCCGCGUGCGGGAUGACGGCCUUCGGGUUGUAAACCGCUUGCGCCUGUGACGAAGCGUGAGUGACGGUAAUGGGUAAAGAAGCACCGGCUAACUACGUG